GGAGUGAUUGAGUGGAAGAAUGCUUUUGAAGCCUUUGUUUGAAUUAAAGACUAAGAAAGCACACAAAGUAAGCCAUGCCCUUAAUGUGUAAAGGGAAGAGGAGAGUGGUAAGGAAGAGAAGAAAUGAAGGGGGAAUGAAAGAACCUAGAAGAAAACAAUUUCUUUUUCUGCCUUGUUGUGGGAACAGAACCUUGGUGACACAUCCAUAAUAGAGGAGCGGAAAGGCAUGACAGUUAAGGUCUAAAAAAAUGAUGGAAAUAGUGCUCUUUCUCUCUUCUUCCCCUUCAUUUCCUCUCAGAAUCCUUCUUGAAUUUUUCUUCUGACCACUUCCACUUGAAGGAUGCUGGGAAGAAGUGGUGGUAAACAGAACUUUUUCUGUUCUGUUGUAGGUUCACCAUUUAAAAGUAGGUUUGGCAUAAGCUCCUAGGUCCUCUGGCUUGAAAGUUCAUGCUGUUCUCUUUCAGUAGCUGUGCUCUAACACCAUCUGAAGGAAGAUGAUAUGGCUUUUUGUUUCAGCUAAUUGGGCAUUUUUAUUUUUGGGCAAUAUUUUAUGUCAUGGGUUAGGUUGGAGGCUUAUUCCUUGGACAGUUUAUAAUAUAGGAGUUUACCAAAUAAGCUCUAUACAUUUCCCCUGCAUGCUAUGCAUGUAAAUACCAAAUACUUUAAUAACGAGCAGUAAAUUCAACAACUGGCAUAAUGAGCAUGUAAGCUCAUGAGUGUUGCAAAAAUAAAUAAAAUCCUGCAGCCG